rnacentral:rRNA from 1 species
AGAGUUUGAUCAUGGCUCAGGAUGAACGCCAGCGGGAGGCCUAAUACAUGCAAGUCGAACGGUAUCUGCUUCGGCAGGUAUAGUGGCGCACGGGUGAGUAACGCGUACGCAAUUUGCCCCUAGGAGGGAGAUAGCCCUGGGAAACCGGGAGUAAUACCCCAUAACGUAUCGGAGUUGCCUAAUUCUGAUACCAAAGUUGAGGCGCCUAGGGAUAAGCGUGCGUCCGAUUAGCUAGUUGGUAGGGUAACGGCCUACCAAGGCGAUGAUCGGUAGGGGGCGUGAGAGCGUGGCCCCCCACACGGGUACUGAGACACGGACCCGACUCCUACGGGAGGCAGCAGUAAGGAAUAUUGGGCAAUGGGCGCAAGCCUGACCCAGCCAUCCCGCGUGCAGGAAGAAGGCCCUAUGGGUCGUAAACUGCUUUUGUUUGAGAAGAACAGGACGCAUUUAUGCGUUUGUGACGGUAUCUUACGAAUAAGCACCGGCUAACUCCGUGCCAGCAGCCGCGGUAAUACGGAGGGUGCAAGCGUUAUCCGGAAUCACUGGGUUUAAAGGGUGCGUAGGCGGCAUGAUAAGUCAGAGGUGAAAGCUUACAGCUCAACUGUAAAAUUGCCUUUGAUACUGUUGUGCUUGAAUGAGGGUGAGGCAGGCAGAACGUGGCAUGUAGCGGUGAAAUGCAUAGAUAUGCCACAGAAUACCGAUUGCGAAGGCAGCCUGCUGGCCCUGAAUUGACGCUGAGGCACGAAAGCGUG